CCCGUCUUUUAAAACACCCCGCUAAAAUUGUUGGGGGUGAAGCCUCUGGGCUUGACCCUUGCGGGCAUGUGAGCAUGGGUACACCCAAAGGAAGAGAUGUGAAGGCAGCGUUGCCAAUGAGACUAGGGCGAGCCGUUUACUGUCCGGUGUCUUGUCUCAAGGUUCUGUGCUACAAUC